ensembl:lncRNA
UUUUAUCCUGAGUGGAUUGUCUAAUCCAGGGACACAAAGUGCAUUAUGAGGAAUGAGGAUUCACUCUAUUCAGAUACUAAGGGUAAUACAGUUGUACCUUGGUUUUCGAACAGCAUAGUUCUCAAACGCUUUGGUUCCCGAACGCUGCAAACCCGGAAGUGACUGUCCCAGUUUGCGAACUAUUUUUGGAAGCCGAACAUCCAAUGGGGCUUCUGUGGCUUCCGAUUGGCUGCAAUAGCUUCCUGCAUUCCAUCAGAAGCCGCGCUUUGGUUUCUGAAUGUUUCUGAAGUCAAAUGGACUUCCGGAAUGGAUUCUGUUCGACUUCCGAGAUUCACACCAGUUGUUCUACAAUGACUACAGCUGCAAUGACACCCAUUAUGAAAUGCAGCAUGCCUAUUGAAGUAUUAACAAAGGCAGCCGACGGAACACUUAGGCCGAUGACAGUGUGGGUGGAGAUGGAGAUUGAUGUUAUGAAACAGGGAACAAACACGACUCUCCCCAACCCCACCCCUGCCCAGAUAACUCAGGCUAGCAUGCAUGCUCCUUCAUCAGCAAUGCAGCUGCCUUCACUGAUGCACCCAAAUUCUUUUGCUUACAAUCUCCCUUCUCAUCCAGCGACAGUUCCUAUACUGAGACGAAGAUGAGCUUGUCUCUCUUUCGAAUGGGAUUGUGAUCCCCCACAGGAACGGGGUGUGGGGAAUGGUACCUGAAAUGCACACCAAGGAUCAACGUCUAAUGGCCAUUUGUCAUGGAUGCUGUAGUUGAGAUUCCUGCAUUGCAGAGGGUUGGACUUGAUGGCCCUUGUGGUCCCUUCCAACUCGACAAUUCUAUGAUUGUAUGGUGUCAGGAAUGCUGAGCCUCCACCAUCCAGACAAACCAGAAUGGAUUGGAUCAAAAGGUUGCUCAGCAUUUCUGACACUCUCGCCUACACAUCCCUGAUCAAUGCUUCUUUGAGCUUUCCUUCUGUCUCUCUUAAGCGCAUCCUUUCUGUUUCCUUUCUAUCACUCAUUGAUGGCACUCUUAAUAUGCUUCAGGCCCGCAAGAGUUCUGAUGCUUCCACUUCCCUGAGAAUCUCUUUCUUCCCCUGUGUUCCUUUGCCUUGUGUCAAUUAUAAAUUCAUCUGUCACUUUAUCAUUUAACUCUUUUGUGGCUGAAAGGAUUGUCGACCUAUUUGAAGACGCUCACCUAAGAAAUGCUUUCAUGAUCUCCUCUUUCCACUACAAUAAACGCUAUCUAUCUGCAUCAUAAUUAUAUUU